UACGUAGGGGGCAAGCGUUGUCCGGAAUCAUUGGGCGUAAAGCGCGUGUAGGCGGUCCGGUAAGUCGGCUGUGAAAGUCCAGGGCUCAACCCUGGGAUGCCGGUCGAUACUGCCGGACUAGAGUUCGGAAGAGGCGAGUGGAAUUCCCGGUGUAGCGGUGAAAUGCGCAGAUAUCGGGAGGAACACCAAUGGCGAAGGCAGCUCGCUGGGACGUUACUGACGCUGAGGCACGAAAGCGUGGGUAUCAAACAGG
rnacentral:rRNA from 1 species